GACGAACGCUGGCGGCGUGCCUAAUACAUGCAAGUUGAGCGCUGAAGGUUGGUACUUGUACCAACUGGAUGAGCAGCGAACGGGUGAGUAACGCGUGGGGAAUCUGCCUUUGAGCGGGGGACAACAUUUGGAAACGAAUGCUAAUACCGCAUAAAAACUUUAAACACAAGUUUUAAGUUUGAAAGAUGCAAUUGCAUCACUCAAAGAUGAUCCCGCGUUGUAUUAGCUAGUUGGUGAGGUAAAGGCUCACCAAGGCGAUGAUACAUAGCCGACCUGAGAGGGUGAUCGGCAACAGUGGGACUGAGACACGGCCCAAACUCCUACGGGAGGCAGCAGUAGGAAAUCUUCGGCAAUGGACGAAAGUCUGACCGAGCAACGCCGCGUGAGUGAAGAAGGUUUUCGGAUCGUAAAACUCUGUUGGUAGAGAAGAGCGUUGGUGAGAGUGGAAAGCACAUCAAGUGACGGUAACUACCCAGAAAGGGACGGCUAACUACG
rnacentral:rRNA from 1 species